AAAUUUAAGUUGCUCAUCUAGCUUUCUUAUUCCUAAGUCCAAUUCCUACUUGUCUCAUCCUGUAGAUAUCCUAAGAGCACAAUUAUAAGAUCAAGGCUUGUGACAAGCGCAGCUGGAGAAGAAAUCCCAGUUCUCUCUUUUUAUUUAAAAUUACUCAUGGUUAGGGUAAUCAGGUUGUAAAUGAUCCAGGUUCAGUUUCUUUUCUGCCACAAGAGAGUUCAAACGUAUCUCCCUUUUCCCAGGUUAAUAUUCCAAGCAAAUUACUUUUGUGGACCUAAUUCCUUUCCUUUACAUGAGAGAAUAUUUAAAGGCCUUUGCCCAUUUAAUCCUCAUCUUCCUUGAGAACACUCCAAAAGCUUCAUGAAGAGCAGGAGUCAUGGUGUGCUUUGUGAUCUGCUUAAAUCCCUCCUUUUACUCUACCUCCAUGACUACAAAGCCUGCUGACUCAAAGAAAUUGUAGUGGGUGCUCUGCCUCUUGAUCCAAAGAACAUUGAGAUGCAUAUGAUACUGUAUGCUGUGAUGCUCCUUCCUUUCUGUCCCUACAAAGGCAACGUGGAAAAGCAGCUUGUAUGCUGCAUUAUUCUUUCAAUAUAGUGGCUCUUUUAGAACAGCUAUAACCAUAGGUUAUAUCCCAGAAAUAGCUGUGGUCCGUGAGAUCUGAUUUUGGCUUGCAUGAGACCUCAAGGUUAACAAGAAGUUCAGUGGGAAUUUGGUUGAGUUUUUCCCUUCUUGGACUCCCCCUGCUGCAGUUUUCACAGCCAUAGGUCACAACGCAGUUGGGUGUGUUUUUAGUAGCAGAAGAACAAGUAUCACAGGUUUUAUCAGGGGAAAUGCCAAGAUUACGCAAGACACCAGAGAAUUACUAUCCCACAGAUUAAUAAAUCAGCAGAAGUUAAAGCAAGAAAAACAGCCUAUGUUAUUUCACUCAGAAUUUCUUAUGAUGAGAAAACACAAAUAAAAGAAUAUAGGGUCAUCACAAACUGCUGGAAAGAUGAGUGUCAGUCACUGAAAAAUACUGUCUGUUUUUUGUUAUCAGAAACUCUUCAGAAUAACUUUUAUUACUACUGUGGUUGUUGUCAACUUCUGCUGCUUACGUCUGGACCACAAAGACUGCCACCUUCUUACAGGGAUUCACAACUCUUAUAGUUUGGUUGUUCAUUUCAAAAACAAACUUUUAAAAGGCCUUUGUAUCCUCUCCCAGUAUAUUCUCUCCUUUGCUUGGAAGCACCGAAACCCACUUUUCUCACAGUAAUGUCUUAUACACCAAGCUGCAGGGAGGCUGCUCCACUUUGGAACAGAUACAUAUUACCUGCAGUGGAGAGUGUGAGCACAUAGUUAUGGAUUACUCUCCUGCAUAGUGUUUAGGGCACAAACCUCUAUUUUACUGCAAACAUUUGCAACAGAAACUGGAAUCCAAAUUUCCCUCUUUGCAGAUGAGUUCUGCUGUAUAGAAACAUAUGAAAUAUAGAAAGUGUCUUGUAAAUGACUGCUCUGUUUUCCUCUCCUGAAAGAAUCAUCUCUGGCAACUUCAUCAUAAAUUCAUUUUUUAGGAAAACACCCUGGUAAUAAGUAGCCCUUAGAGUGGUAGUUUGAUUAUUUUUCUGGGAACUGAAUGGUAAGGGAGAGAACAUCAUGAGGUAAAGAUGAAAAUCUAUUUAAAGAUGUUCCAGAUGACAGUACAGUGACAGAGAUGACGUUAUAGUGGUCACUGUUGUAACCUUUUGCCCUCCUUCUCCCAGUAGAUAUAUCAAGUGUGCCUGAGAACUUCUUGCAGAUAGAACAGGUAAAGGAUUAUGGUUUGUGAAGCCUGAUACUACCUUGGCUUAAGGAGAUCUGAGCAAUGCAGUCCUGCUGUGUGUAAAGUACUUCUGCAAAUGAUUGGAGGCCAAUUUUUAGAGAAAUUUGAUCCUAAAAAUGGAGGGGACUGUGUGCUUCCUCACUGAGACGAUAGCAGAACAGGGUUGCAGCUGAGGAGGAAGAUGAGCUUCAUCCUGUAGAUGGAAAAAAAGAAGCUACCUUAGCAAUAAGGAUGUGUCAUUAACCAUGUUAUUUGUGGGUCUGGUGGGAACGGAGGCAUGGCUUGAGCGUACUCCAGCUCAUACAGAUGGAUGGUAGCAUUGCCAGCAAGGUGCUGAGCAGAGAUCCUGCUGGCUUUGUGCCCUUUUUCCUAAGGCACAGUUCUCUGGCAGGUAGGUAUUGGCCUGGCACUAUUGCAGCAGCUGUGCUGCAACCCUGGAAUACUCUACUGGGCUUGGUGGUGUGUGACGUAUACUUCUUGUCUGGAUCAGGGCAUGGCAGCUAUGUUCCAGGAAAAGCCUAUCCUCCCCUGAAGCCAUUCACCACCUAACUAUUUACCUAGAUUAGCAGUCAAUGCCGCAUUCAGACUAACUACACAGAAUACAGAAACUUGGCUGGCGGUGUCAUUGCUGUGUUUAUUUGGUUUUACAACUUGCACAUCUGUUGGUUGCUUUUUAAAAAAAAAAAUCUUUGCUCAGGAAUUAACUUCAGCACCUUCUGUGUCUUUAUGAACUGCCUCAGAUUAAUAUUUAACACAAAUGUGUUCAGCUUUUGGUAUGCUACGAGAAGACCUAUGUCCUUUUUCGCACUAUUUCAGAUGAUGCAAGAAAUGUGCCAGAAGCCUGAUAUCUGACUCGACAAAGAAAUGACUGAAUUUAAAAAGAGAUUUGUCAGUGUUGCUGGUGCCGCUUCCCUUAACUUCAGAGAGAAGUUCAGCAUCCAAGAUGAGAACCAAGCAAAACUGGUAACCACUUCUGAUUGUUUCACUACUGGGAAAAGAAACCCAUUCGAUUCAGGGGUCAAUGGGAUGUCAACACAGCAUUAGAGCUCACAGAUCCAGCUGCUUCCAGGCAGUUACGUCCUAUGUCUUACAGCAACAGAAGACAGCACAGAGCUGAUGCAUUUAAGCUGGCUCUCAGUUCCUACAGGAGUUUCCUUCUUGAAAGUCCUUGCAAAGCUGCAAGCCCAUCACUUCAGAUGCAGCGAGCCAAUUCCCUGGGCUAGGUCCCAGCAUGCAGCAGGCUUACACUCCAUGACUAGGGGAAGUGAGGCACACUCUUCCUGUAGAUACGUCUGACAACAUCAGACUCUGACCCAGUUACACGUCUGGGAGGGGACUGCACCAUGCAGCCUGUCCCUGAAGUUCCAGGAAUAAAGAGUGGCUUUUUGUCAGAGUGAGUGCCCAGUGACAGGAGGCUGUACCUACUGGCUUUAAGUUUGCUGCUGUCUAAUGUGGGAAAACUGGUUGAAAGAUUGUUGCUGGAGGAAGGCGAUCUGGGUGGAAGUGGUCACAAAUCAGCUCAGCUCUUGUGCUUCAGGAGGGAAAGGAGUGAAUGCAAUGAAAUAAUGAACUUAAAACAGAAGUCUUCAAUCCACUCCAAGAAUUGCUAAAUGCAGUCUUGUGGAAAGGAAUUUUAAUGGGAAAAGGUGCCCUGGAGAACUGCCAGUUCCUAGAAGAGACACUGAAUAUCCGAUGAAAAACUGCUGUGAUACAGGAGGCACAGCAAGCAUGGGGAGAGACUGCUAUGGCUGCAAAGGAAGAUCUUUAAUGACCCGAUGAUGAAAAUGAUGGUGCAAAAGGUGGCUUCAUUUCUGCAUUGCAAGCAAUACAAGUAAAGCUUUUAGCAGUGUCCCAAAUGACACUCUCCUGGGCGUGCCUGGGAAAUGUGGUCUUCAUUAAACUACUGUAAAGUGGGAAAGAGGAGGCAAGGGAUUGGGAUACUGCUGACAUUGUGAUACAGCUCCAGGAACUACUAAGUCUUCUAAUGGCUCCAGCAGUCUCUGAGGCUGUGUCUUGUGAUGCCAUACCUACCUUGAUCUCCCAGGAACAUGGAAAAGCUCUAUUCUGUUCUUUCUGUCUUGAUUCCCCAUACCUGCCUUUGAUUUUUAGGGGCCUCAUAUAUGCAUCUUCCUUCUUUCCCCCUCUAUCCACAUAUUCUUUCCUGAACAGUGCUCUCAUCAUGCACCACUGCUGGCAAGCCAACUCUGGCCCUCUUCUGUCACUGAUACGAAGCAUUGGAGUUUCCAGAGAAAAGCAGCUCCCAUGGGUGCAAAAAUGCCUACAGGAAGCCAUGGCCAUGGCCCACUGCCCUCUUUCCUGCUCUUUGCUCCUGCGUCGAGCCGAAUAACACAGCAUUUGCUCUUGACAAGCAGAUGGGGAGGAAUUGGCAAGGAGCCCGGAAUCCUUAUAAGUUAAUCUCUGUCUAUUCAGCUGGAACAAAUAGGAAGUUAUAUUUCCAGCUAUGGAGAAAAAUUGUCUGAGGGCAAAGGAGGAUGAAUGUGAGGCCAUUCACAGAUUACUUCUGAUGAAGCCCCGGCAUCGACGUCCAUCAUCUCCCAGCCACCAAGUAGCUGUCCAGGUCCUGCAGCCACUGGCAAGUUGCUGCUUCACCAUGCUGUGGGGUGCCCCAUGGGUGCUGAGUGGAUACCUGGCUUCUCUUGAUGCAGACAGAGGACAACCAGAUGCCCUCCCUCCCUACAGCAGGCUUUGUGCCUGAGACUGCUUUGCAAAGGAGACUGAUUAUGGCAGAGCUUGUGCUAAGUGUCUUGCGAGGGACAGAUGAGCAAAUGCAGAGGGCAAAGAACAAAAGUGGGGAGCUGCGGUCUUUGUUUUACCCCUUCUCUCUCUAAAUUCUCUCUUCCCAGGGCUGGGCUCUUGACCCAGCCUGGUACUGAGAUUUUAUUGGUGUGAGACUGGAGUCAGGCUCAGUCUGCUGCUGCAGGUAACACACUCUGCAAUUAGCUCAAAAAAGAGAUCUCUGGGGGACAAAGGGCUUCUCGCCAGGAGAAAGAGCUCUCUAUUAGUGUCAGCUCCAAAGCAAAUCUUAUCUGAGUUGAGAACAAAGAGGCUACAGGCUGGGUUACAAUUUUUAAUAUUCUAGAUAACUGAUUUUUUACAUUUUAUUUUAUUCUUGAAAAGCAUCAAUGUGAAUGUGUGUGAAUCGUGAAGAUCUAGCCUCAGUUUUGAAAGAAAAGAGGCAACCAGUUUGACCUGACAACUAGCCUAAGACCCCUGUGGAAAGUAAUAAUCUUGAAAAAGCCAGUGCAAGCUAUGUUUCCAAUUUAUAAAUUAAAUGUAUUUAAAAUUUAUGAACUUUGACUGCACGAGUAACUACUUCAUUAGACUUUAAGGCUGCAUGUUUCCUUGGCUUUUUUGCGUGGUAAAGUGAAACACAUUUCUAAUAAACAUGGAAAGAGAUUUCAAGAUAGAGUCACUACUUUCAUGUAAAGCACCCUCCAGACUCAUUAAAAAAGUUUACCACCUAAAUAAAGCAAGCACACUGUAAUUCUUGAACCC